CGCAGGGUCUGCUGGUUCGUGAUCUGGUGGUGAAAGACGAAAUGAUCUCCCGUAGUGUGGGAGCGAAUCGAGGGCUGUUGGUUGCAAGUGCAUGGAUCAGCUGUCUGGAAGGGGCAAGAAGGCUCGGGGCUGCGGGGAGGAAAGUGACCGUGUGUGUACAGUAUAAGGCGUCUGAGGGUGUGUCAGGGCCGAAUAUACAGAGUUCAUGCUUACCUGGCAGAGGAGAUACCAUGAUCAGGAAAAUGGUUUUCUCAGGGCGAGGCUUAUUCAUUGCACUUUGGGUUUGCUGAUCCCUGCGAUUUCCCCAAAUGUAGGAAACUCGACUGCAAAAUUUGUGAUAGUGGGGGACUCCGUUCGCGCUGUUCCCUGCUUAUUUAUAUAUUUUAAAAACAGUGUUGCUUUUCUCUGUGAUGGUGGUAUUUUUACCACACAGGAUUCUUGAACGUUACCUGAACGUUAACCGUGUGUUUUCAGGUAUGGCAAUUGAACUAUGUGUGUGGACUAUUACUGAUAUUCCAGAAACACCUUUUCAUUUUACUUUUGCAGGAGUAUUGUUUGUUAUUAAGUAAUUGAAUGAGCCAAGUCAGUGACUGUCAGUGAAAGAGAAGAUAGUUGCAGGUCAUUGUAAUACUACUAACAGCCGUAAGUGGAAAGAUUCGGUUUUUGCGGAUCUCUGCUGUGUUUCCAGAAGGCAGUAGAGAGCACAGAUGUCUGAUAAGGCAACGUAUCGCGGCGUGGAAGGUGAAAAAGCGUUUUCGUUCUCACUUGCGUGAGAUCAGAUGCAAGAAAGUUUUUGCAGGAUCCUGAGCAGAUGCUUCAGGAAACUCAAUGAAGAAAUGAAGUUCUCAAGAAAAGAAAAAUUGGAGUUCUCGUCGGUGUGUUACUACUUCUAAUGUCCAAAGUCUAAAAAUAGGAGUGUUCUGUUACUGCUGUUGGCCGAGAAGAGUGUUUUGUUACUGCUGUUUGCUAGAAGCUAAACACCCUGCUGGGUCAAGGAUCCAGAGCAGUAGAAAGAAAUGUGAGAGGAGCUCUAGAUUGUUGCAAGCCUCCCUGUUAUCAGCUGAUAAAUUGCAUGUGCAAAUAGUAAAAAGCGCUGGUGACUUCUCUAACCUUUUCAGGGUCCAAAUGAAUGUGGUAGCCACUUCCCUUUCCGUUUUCAAAGUCUCAGCUGAUGUCCUAUGGUCGAAGUUAACCCAGAACUAUGCAGAGAAGGGAGUUCUGGGAGAUUUUUUUCUAGCCUAGUAAUAUUGAUACGAAUCUUGCACAAAAAACAUCUUCUGCACUUGACAUCCAUACAUAGGGAGAUAUCUAUAUUUAUAUAUCUUUUCCUUUUCCUCCUUUGGUAGCCAUUCUUAACUUUCAAACAAAGCCAAUAACAAAAUUAUGCUUAUCUCAAACAGUGAAAAAAAAUGCCAAUCUUUCCACAGAAGAGAGUAAAGUUUGAAUGUUUUUUGUUCUUCCAGCAGAGUCACAUUCUUUUUACCUUAGAUAUGCUGUAAUAAAUACUGCAAUUAAAAGUUAACUCUUAGCAACAGAUUUUGUUAGCUGGUAGUGGGAUGAAAGAGGAAAAGAGAAAAAUAUUGCUUGAUACAUAUAAAACUAUUAGUAAUAUAAUAAGGAAAUAUUCAUACCUGUUAUGGACCUCCUUUCUGCAACUGUCAGUGAUAUCUAUAACAACUGUCUUCUUAGCUACUAUCAACAAAUAAAAUUCAGCCAGAUAAAUGUGAA